rnacentral:rRNA from 1 species
ACGAACGCUGGCGGCGUGCUUAACACAUGCAAGUCGAACGGAAAGGCCUCUUUCGGGGGGUACUCGAGUGGCGAACGGGUGAGUAACACGUGAGUAACCUGCCCUUGACUUUGGGAUAACUUCAGGAAACUGGGGCUAAUACCGGAUAGGAGCUCCUGCUGCAUGGUGGGGGUUGGAAAGUUUCGGCGGUUGGGGAUGGACUCGCGGCUUAUCAGCUUGUUGGUGGGGGAGUGGCUUACCAAGGCUUUGACGGGUAGCCGGCCUGAGAGGGUGACCGGCCACAUUGGGACUGAGAUACGGCCCAGACUCCUACGGGAGGCAGCAGUGGGGAAUAUUGCACAAUGGGUGGAAGCCUGAUGCAGCAACGCCGUGUGCGGGAUGACGGCCUUCGGGUUGUAAACCGCUUUCGCUCAUGACGAAGCUUUGUGUGACGGUAGUGGGUAAAGAAGCACCGGCUAACUACGUG